rnacentral:misc_RNA from 1 species
CGCGCAACGUGGGUGUCAAAUCGAAUACAUAAUAAUUCUAUAUAAAAUCACCUCACUUACAUAAGGAUAUUAAAAUAUCUUGUUUAUAGAUCCUGUUCAAAUAUCACACAAUAUCGACACCGCGUGAUGACGUCAAAAGCUCCCAUGAUUAAUAUACGAUUAUUAGAUGUUAAUACUGUACAUGUCCGAUCGAGCUAUGGCUGCACUACUGCGAGAUGAAAGUCGGUGUUGCCUGAGACUGACGAGUUUUGCUGCAAGUUUCAGGAAUUUCAACUAACUUCUUUAGCGUCCCAUCAGAGCUGGGUGAGACAUUAUUGCAGCAUUGGAAACAAUCCCACGCUCGAAUCGCGUCUCUGAAGAUCAUCGAA